CUCCAGACUCCUACGGGAGGCAGCAGUGGGGGAUAUUGGACAAUGGGGGAAACCCUGAUCCAGCGAUGCCGCGUGAGGGAAGAAGGUUUUCGGAUUGUAAACCUCUGUGGACAGGGACGAUAAUGACGGUACCUGUCAAGAAAGCCACGGCUAACUACGUGCCAGCAGCCGCGGUAAUACGUAGGGGGCAAGCGUUAUCCGGAUUUACUGGGUGUAAAGGGAGCGUAGACGGCAGAGCAAGUCUGAAGUGAAAGCCCGCGGCCCAACUGCGGGACUGCUUUGGAAACUGCCCGGCUAGAGUGCUGGAGAGGUAAGCGGAAUUCCUAGUGUAGCGGUGAAAUGCGUAGAUAUUAGGAGGAACACCAGUGGCGAAGGCGGCUUACUGGACUGUAACUGACGUUGAGGCUCGAAAGCGUGGGGAGCAAACAGGAUUAGAUACCCUAGUU
rnacentral:rRNA from 1 species